ACUCAAUGCAUGCUAAGAAAGUAUUUUACCAUGGAAUUAAUAACCCCUGGACCUUUUUAAAUUUUCUGUUUUGAGUCAGAGUCUCACUAAAUUUUAGGCUGGCUUAAAACUGGUAGUCUUCUCAGUCUUCUAGUCAGCUGUGGUUACAGAUGUGACCAGCAUACCUAGCUGCUAGUCAUUGAUUAGUGCCACCUCUGUUGAUUACAAUGCCCUACACCUGCUGUCACAUAUGUGCUCUCUACAGUCUACCACAGUGGCAACCUUGCUUUUCUCAGAAAUACUAAAAAUUGGUAUUUUCUCUUGGCUUAUUUUAAGAUACCUUUUAAUAAGUGUAAUUAAAUGAGGCUUGGCAUGGUAAUAGAUAAAAUGAUAGUGCCAAUGGUGAUUCUUAAGAUGGUUUAAAAGUUAUAAGAUCUGGUUUUAUAUUUUUUUUUCAUUGUAGCCAUUUUUCCACCUCGAAUUCUAUCUACUCGACCAGGACAAAAAAGUUCAAUUAUUAUGCAUGAUGAUAAUUCCUCUGACAGAGAUAGAGAAGACAGCAUCACUUACACCACUGUGGACUGGAGAGACUUUAUGUGUAACACAUGGCAUCUGGAGCCUACUCUUAGAUUAAUUUCUUGGACUGGAAGAAAGAUUGAUCCAGUAGGUGUUGAUUAUAUUCUUCAAAAAUUGGGCUUUCACCAUGCCAGGACCACUAUUCCCAAAUGGCUUCAGAGAGGAGUGAUGGACCCACUGGACAAGGUGUUGUCCGUUCUCAUCAAAAAACUUGGCACUGCACUGCAAGAUGAAAAGGAAAAGAAAGGAAAAGACAAAGAAGAACACUAGAAUAGUAGCUUGAUCUGUGAAAAACCUGAUUGUGUCCGUUAAGUUUUAUUACACUGGAUUUUUUUUUCAGCAUAACUUUAAAUAUUACUUUAAAAUAUUUCUAAUUUUGUGGCCAUUAUUGUAACAGUUUGUAAGUUAAUCUGUUUAUUCUAGUUCUACCAUUCUGUAUACAAUAAAGUAUUGCAUGAAAAUAUAAAUUUUGUGGAAAAUUACAUUAAAAUAUACACAUAAAAUUUAUGAUUGUUUUAUGUGCAAUAUGAUUCUGCAUUUAAAAUAUUUGCAGAGUAACUGUGAAUUUUUUUGUUAUUGGCCAUAACUUUUAGAAAAAAAUCUUGUUGAUAAUGUGAUUGGGGGGUCAUUUAUUUUUUUUAUGUAGACUUGUAUAAAUAUCUAUUUGUAUAUAAUUUGAGUAAUUGUGAUGAUUGUAUACCACAAAAAUAUUGUUUGUAACUAUUGUAAUAAAGUCACAAUAAUGGCUUCA